UUUCCAUUCACUUUUUACGGAGGCUUUAUUAUUCAAUAUGAACAAUUUUAAUGGACUCUAAGCCCUAUCCGUUUUCUAACAGCUGUGACAGAAGCAAAAUGUAUUUAAAUAAACGAAGUCUUACCGCACUCCUCAAAUUUUGGGUACGUGAACACACUAUUAGUGUCAAAAUAGACGCCAAAAAAGGAGCACAAGCUAAAAGUGCGCAGGAGAGGGAGUAUCGCUCCUGCAACAAGAACGACCACUCACUUUUGUGUGUUAUCGUUUCUAAUUUGUUUCAAAUUAAAUGAGUUUUAAACAUU